CUACAAAUGAAUUGACGGGGCCCGCACAAGCGGUGGAGCAUGUGGUUUAAUUCGACGCAACGCGAAGAACUUACCAGGGCUUGACAUCCCCUGACCGCGUAUGAAAGUACGUUUUCACCCUCGGGUGACAGGGAGACAGGUGGUGCAUGGUUGUCGUCAGCUCGUGUCGUGAGAUGUUGGGUUAAGUCCCGCAACGAGCGCAACCCUCGACCUUAGUUGCCAGCAUUCAGUUGGGCACUCUAAGGUGACUGCCGGCUAAAAGUCGGAGGAAGUGGGGAUGACGUCAAAUCAUCAUGCCCCUUAUGACCUGGGCUACACACGUGCUACAAUGGGUGGUACAAAGGGCUGCCAAGCCGCGAGGUGGAGCUAAUCCCAUAAAACCGAUCGUAGUCCGGAUCGCAGUCUGCAACUCGACUGCGUGAAGUCGGAAUCGCUAGUAAUCGUGAAUCAGAAUGUCACGGUGAAUACGUUCCCGGGCCUU
rnacentral:rRNA from 1 species